GCUGCGAGCGAGUUAUAGGAAACGAAGAAGAAAGGGGAGAAAGAGUGAGAGACAAAGAAUAGGUCGAUGUCGCACAGGACAACCAGAAAGCUCUGCGAUAAUGGCUCAUGAAGUUCGACAAAUCUUUUCUUUGUUUGCAUAUCGUUUAUGGUGAUUUUCUUUUUAGCAGAUGGUGGCAGUGAGGAUGAUUUUUUUUUUUUUUUUACAUAUGCAAAGCUAUAAAAAGAUUGACGCAAAACAAAAACAUUGAACACUAAAAAAUCAAUGAUGUUUGUAGUUGCUAUGCUUUCAAACUUUCUCAAAGUCUACACACUACACUGUUUGUAGUUCCUUUCACUUUCUGGGUUAUUUUUUUUCUUGAAUAAAAAUUGGAUUUUGAUUGUCAAAUAAAGUGGGAGGAUUUUGAUUUUCAGAGUGAGUAAAUGUGGGAAUGACGACGAUGGAGGUUGCAGAAGAGAGAGGGAGAUAGAUGAGAUAAAAGAUGAAGGAGAAGGCUAUGAUGAGAGAGAAGAUAGUAAAAAUACAGUUAUUCUAUACUUUGUUUUCAUGUUACACCUUGAUAUCACCUCUGUCG
rnacentral:lncRNA from 1 species